rnacentral:rRNA from 1 species
CGAGGGGUAGGAAACUUCGGUUUCUGAGACCGGCGCACGGGUGCGUAACACGUAUGCAAUCUACCUUGUACAGGGGGAUAGCCCGGAGAAAUCCGGAUUAAUACCCCAUAGUAUUAUGAAAUGGCAUCAUUUUAUAAUUAAAGAUUUAUCGGUACAAGAUGAGCAUGCGUCCCAUUAGUUAGUUGGUAAGGUAACGGCUUACCAAGACUAUGAUGGGUAGGGGUCCUGAGAGGGAUGUCCCCCACACUGGUACUGAGACACGGACCAGACUCCUACGGGAGGCAGCAGUGAGGAAUAUUGGUCAAUGGACGCAAGUCUGAACCAGCUAUGCCGCGUGCAGGAAGAAGGUUCUAUGGAUCGUAAACUGCUUUUGUACAGGAAGAAAUUAUCCCUCGUGAGGGAGCUUGACGGUACUGUAAGAAUAAGGAUCGGCUAACUCCGUGCCAGCAGCCGCGGUAAUACGGAGGAUCCAAGCGUUAUCCGGAAUCAUUGGGUUUAAAGGGUUCGUAGGCGGUUUUGUAAGUCAGUGGUGAAAGUUUGCAGCUUAACUGUAAAAUUGCCAUUGAUACUGCAAGACUUGAAUGUUUGUGAAGUAGCUAGAAUAUGUAGUGUAGCGGUGAAAUGCUUAGAUAUUACAUGGAAUACCGAUUGCGAAGGCAGGUUACUAACAAAUU